AAGUACACCUGCUGAAUUUAAGCAUAUAAGUAGGUAGAGGAAUUGACACAAACUUGGCUUCCUCAAUUAGUUGCGAAUGAAAGAGAGAGAUUCUCAGCUUGAUAUUCAAAGGUCUCGGCCUUUGACCUGAAAACCCUGAUGGUGUGCCAAAGGAAGAGGGGUGGAGAGUGGGUACUGCCUUGAAAGAGGGGUGUGCAAGUGGUAACAAGGGUGACAAACCUUUGACACUUGAUGCGUCUUCCUGCAUGGCACCUUGUCUAGAAUCAUGCUCCUUGAAAGUGGAGUGCAAAGUGGGUGGUAAAUCUCACUCAAAGCCAGAUACAGCACUGGGGCCGAUAGUAUAAAAGUACCGUGAGGGAAAUGUGAAAAGGACUUUGGAAAGAGAAUUAAAGGAGCCUGAAUGUGCUGAUGUGCAAGCAUACAGGGUGGGAGUGUUUGGAGAGAUUUCCACAUGUGACCCAUGAUUAUGGAUACCCCUUGGGCAAUGGCUCUGUGGCACAAACUGGUGUGACAUGUGUGUAUCUCUCCUUGGGUGCCAGCUGAAGACAGCUGCAGUCAAUGGCAACUGGUGGUGGUGGGCCACUGUUGUGUGCGUGUGUGUGGCUGUUGUUGCCAAGUCUCUGCACGUGUGUGGAGCAGGAAGUUUGUACCUUGUGUUGAGUUGGUGUCGGCAGAUCAGUGUGGGGAGUGGACCUGCCUCACUGUGCGUGAAGGCAAAUCCUGCCCGGCAGCACAGCUACUGUCAACCUCCGUCUGUGUGACCCGUCUUGAAACACGGACCAAGGAGUCUAGCAACUCUGCAAGGAGUGUGAUUGCUUGUGUACUACAACUCAGUGCCAAUGAAAGUGGAGUCCCAGACCUGUGCAUGAGUGUUCCACCAAUCAGGAGGUUGAGGUUUGAGUCUGAGCACGGUUGCUAGGACCCGAAAGAUGGUGAACUAUGCCUGGCAAGGGUCAAGGCAGGGGAAACUCUGAUGGAGGCCCGCAGCGUUACUGACGUGCAAAUCGUUCGUCACACUUGGGUAUAGGGGCGAAAGACUAAUCGAACCUUC
rnacentral:rRNA from 1 species